UACGGGGGGGAGCAAGCGUUGUUCGGAUUUACUGGGCGUAAAGGGCGCGUAGGCGGCCACCGCAAGUCAAUUGUGAAAUCUCCGGGCUUACUCGGAAAGGUCAACUGAUACUGUCGGGGCUAGAGUGCGGAAGGGGGCAACUGGAAUUCUCGGUGUAGCGGUGAAAUGCGUAGAUAGUCGAAGAGGAACACCCUGCGGCGAAGGCGGGUUGCUGGGCCGACACUGACGCUGGAGGCGCGAAAGCUAGGGGAGCAAACGGG
rnacentral:rRNA from 1 species